ACCCAUUCCCCAUUGGACCUAACAUAAUUCCUAUAAUCUAUAAAAUAAUGUCUAAAUCCUAGACCUAAGACCUAGGGCUAAGCUAAUUCCAAAAAUAACUAAGGAAGAGAAGCUGCGCAACAGCAACAGUCCCCAGCCGAGUCAACCUUUCACUCUUUCUGGCCUCAAUCUCCCUCGUCUUCUUUUUCUUCAAUUCAAACUAGUACAACAGUCAUCACCAUUAAAGUUGCUCAAUUUCUCAAUUGUUUCACUUUAUGCAAUUCCCCUCUUCUCCGAAUGUCGACAGCAACUUCAUCCAAAACCGACGACACCUAAGCUUGAUAAGAUUUGUUUGACUGAUUUUUGGCAAUUUCUCAACUUAGAUAAGCUUAAGUAUUCAGCUGCUCAAAUUCGAACAUCUGGUCGUCAAAUCUUCCUCUAUCCAAAUCCUUACAGUAGGCUCCGAUUUGCUUAAUGAGAAUGGAGGGUCAGAGUACAAAUAUAUUGGAGAAUACGAGCAAUGUACAUAAUAAAUUGACUCAUCCAAUGAUUCAUUCUUUUUCUCUGGAUUCCCGGAAAAGGUCCAAUAAUGUGUUAAGUGAACUUACGAGCUAGCUCAUUAUUUUGUUUAAGCGGAAGUGUUAGCGUUUGAGGAAGUGGGAGUCCGAGUUUGAGCAUUCCAUUAUCGAUUCGAGAUUUCGAUUUAUGAUUUCGGUGUUCUAGUUCAAGAAUUAUUGCUUUGUUUUGCCCGAUUAAUUUGUAAUUUUUAACUUUGUUUAUCAGUAAAAGGUCCACUUCUCAAUUCUCAUUCUCAUUUCAUGUUGUUAUGAUAGCUUGGUGCGCGUGUUGGUUGAUUUGUGAUUCUACGUUGUUUGAGUAACAUGUCUUUGUUUUCCUUUAAAUUGUUUCAAUU
rnacentral:lncRNA from 1 species